AUUUUAUUAGUCAAUUUGCUGUGGAUUUGUCAACCCUGUAAAACCAACAUUCCCUCUGAUCACUAUUUAUAAGCAGUCAUAGCAAUGGCACAGUUCUGAAAAGUUUCAUUAAUACCAAAUCACACAAUUUGUAUAGUAACAAAUGGCACUUAAUGCAGAAAUUUCGGUUGUUGUAACAUUGCCAAACAUUCCCAAAGAUUUCAUGGUUGGUCUGGUCACAAGCAAUGCCAAGAUGUGACAUAGCAUUCAACAUUUUUUUCAUCCAUAAAAUCUCAGAAAAUAAACAAAUGCUUGUAUGGAAUCAGCUAUAAAAUCUUUCACCUACAUAUGUAAUGCCUUAUUUAGAAAACAGCAUAUAGUUAAAGUAACCAUGGUGAUAACAAUAUUUUAACAUAUGUAUAUGUAGUUCUAGUUAAAUUAAAAAUUACUCCUGUAAGUAGCUUACAGGAAAUGAAAACAUAUAGUGAAUUAUAUUCUCUCAAAUUUAACGUUUUGGAAAAUGUUGACAGACUAGUAAUCAUUUUUGAGUUUCAUUGAUGUUGAAGUCUACUGGUACAUUUUAAAGUCUAGUCAUUUUACCGUGGAACAAAAUAGUUCUAAUUAAUAUAAUAUAGUUCUAAUUAAUUAAUAUAUUUUUUUUCAGAGUAUCAUGCCAUAUAGUUCUUGACUCUGCCCCUUUAAAUGCCACUGUCACUGCAGCUUAACAAGCUUUCAUGCCUUCAGUUUGGGUAGAUUCCCAUGUUCAUAAAUCAUGAACCCAGAGCUGGGAUUGCACUGGUGGUAUCUUUAUAUACUGGUUCUCAACCCAGUCCUCUAGGCACACUAAUGUUCCAGGUUCUACUUGCAUUCCCAUGGAAACAGAACUGGGAAAUUCUUAAAGGGUCAUGCAUUACUUUGAGACAACUGCCUCAUUUAAAUGCUUUAGCUUUGAAUGAGACAGUUGACUCACACUGCAGGCUUUAAAAAUAUACAUGACAUUUUGCAUAUUUACCCGUUUCUUCUAUCUUAUGCUUCCCACGCCCACUCCAAGAGAGACACUGGUCUUAUAUCACUUGAUAAAGUUUUUUAAACCAGCAAGCACAAACAUUUAAACAAAUAUGCAAACCAAACUAAAGCAAGGAGAAUGUAAAACAAGUUAUUAUAAACUUAGUCAAAUUGCAUUGUUGGACAUGCAUCUUAGUUCCCUCUUAGCCUUUCUUCUCAGAUCAGUCAACUAAUGACAGAAACAUUGUGGAGCAGCAGGAACGAAAAACCCUACACCGCAGUCUGCUCUGCCUCACACUGAUCUGACUCCCUCUCUUCUCCCCCCUGUCAGGAUGUGGCGAAGUGAAGAGGUCUUCCAACUGCAUAUGUGUAAACCUUACAGGCAUGUCCAAUGCACUUUUCCAGCAUUCCUAGGGAUAGGACACUGAUUGGUCAGAUCAGUGUCCCCCCUUGUUUGAGUGUGGAAAGCACAAGAAAGAUAAAUCUGGCAAAUAUGGAAAACAAAAUCAGUUGUCUUAAAGUGAUGUCCCUUUAAUCACUAAACUUGUACCAUGAGGAGGGGUUAUCAAGUUACCCAUAGGAGAGUAGACUGAAUUUCAGUAUGAAACACUACAUAGAAUCCAACAGACUGUACAGUGUAGCAAAUCAUGAUACUAUUCUCAAAAAUAAAAUUAGGGGUUUCUUAUUCUCCCUUUAAAGUGAUAUUU